CCUACGGGGGGCAGCAGUGAGGAAUAUUGGUCAAUGGACGAGAGUCUGAACCAGCCAAGUAGCGUGAAGGAUGACUGCCCUAUGGGUUGUAAACUUCUUUUAUAUGGGAAUAAAAUGUUCCACGUGUGGGAUUUUGUAUGUACCAUAUGAAUAAGGAUCGGCUAACUCCGUGCCAGCAGCCGCGGUAAUACGGAGGAUCCGAGCGUUAUCCGGAUUUAUUGGGUUUAAAGGGAGCGUAGGUGGAUUGUUAAGUCAGUUGUGAAAGUUUGCGGCUCAACCGUAAAAUUGCAGUUGAAACUGGCAGUCUUGAGGACAGUAGAGGUGGGCGGAAUGCGUGGUGUAGCGGUGAAAUGCUUAGAUAUCACGAAGAACUCCGAUUGCGAAGGCAGUUCACUGGACUGCAACUGACACUGAGGCUCGAAAGUGUGGGUAUCAAACAGGAUUAGAUACCCUGGUAGUC
rnacentral:rRNA from 1 species